CUUAAUAUCUAUGGUUGUAUUGAGGUUUUGAAUGCAUGAACCGAUCCACAGUCGUGGUUUGCAGGUGUAGCAUCAUCAAGAUUCACAUGCAAAUUAAAGGCAAGGUGGUGGUGAGUUGGAUCUUUCUGCCAUAGCUUUGUUUGAAGGUGAGAAUCUUGAUGAUGCUGCAUCAGCAAUACACGGCUAUUAUAAAUUCUUCAGUCUAUCUUGAAAUGGAUCCAUGGAUCGAACCCUUUUGUCCAGAGGGUGAUAAUAAGUUCAUAUAUUGCCUCAGUAUUUUAUGUCCAAUCAGGUGGGUAUUGUUCUUCCUCUUUCUUUUUCUUUUUUUUUUUUUUGGUUUGAAAUGGUAAAUUUGGGUGUACUUUAUGCUAUUUUGGGCUGGGUUUCUUUUAUAAAAUUGUGGGUUUUGACAACUGGAAAAGACAGUGGUGAUAGAUGCUGACUGCCAUAGAUCUGCGUGGAACUGUGAUUAUUCUUCUGCCAAUUUCAAGUUCUGAAGAAGAUGCUGCUGAUGAUAGUUUUUUUAAUCAGAUGUACCAGUAAUUGUGCCCAGGGUUUUAAAGCUCGGCUACUACUUUUAAUUUCUUGGAUUUCUGGGUGGUGAAUGGUGAUUAAUUGAUUGUUCCAAUUGGAAGCUCAGAAGGAGAUCAAGCUUGCUUGGUUGGGGUUUGGAUGAUCAUGAAGUGGCUAUCAGCCAUCCCUAUAUGUAGGGACCAAUUCUGUUGAGACACCAUGCUGUUCACCUUGCUAGCACUAUAUGGAGGAGUGUGCGCCUCUAUCACUAUCCAAGGACUGCUUCACAUGGAGCUUUUCAAUCAAAUGGGG